AUGUUAAGUGUAUUUUUUGGUUUGAAAAGGUUUACUUUUUUGCUAAUCCUGACUAUUAAUAAACAUUUUUAAUUAAUAUCAUAAUCAAUUCAUAUCAAUUUAGAUUAAUAAUUGUUGCCGGACCGACCCCAACUAUUCAUGGUUUAACAAAAGAUGCCAAAAGGUGUUGGUUUUGAAAGCCGCUGGUUAAGUUGACUUGAUAUGGCAAUUGAGAUUAAUGGAAAAGAUUGAUUUUGAUUUAAUCGUGGAUGGGUACACUCUGAUUUGAUUAAUCAAUGGAUUUUACAUUCAUCGGAAAAGAUGCCCAAGAUGAUGGAGAGAAUAAGAAGGAUGAAGAAAAAAGACGGAGAAGCCGGUUUUUUUCUCUUUCUCUUUUGCCAUCUUCUUUACUACUUUUUUAUCUUCAUCAGUUACCUUUUUCUACCUGAUAACUUGACAUUGAAGUGGUUUUAACAUGAAAAUGAUAUUUUUUUCACGUCUUACUGGUACUCAUUCACCUUUCUGAGCAAGGCAAACAUGCAACUCAACCAUGACAACAUCUACAGCAUCCAAACUCCAGCCAAAAGAAUAGUCAAUAUUUAUUUAUUUUGCUUAAGAAGCAAACGUCUUACGAUGGUUAAAAACAACAUCAACAUAAUCAACAACAACAAAAACAUCAUCAACUAAACCUCAGCUCCAGCAACAGCAACAGCGAAACAAAAAAAAGCAAAAUUGAUUUUACAGCAAAAGUACAAGCUCAAAAUUGCUGUUCAAUCUUACUGCGGACUAAACCAGAAUUUGUUGGGUUCACAUUUUUUUCCCAAAUCUCCCAAACGUUUGAAGGAUACUUUAUUUUUGUUGACAAAUAAUCUAACUAGCUGAUUAACUUUCACUGUCAGUAUUUUGAAAAAUGCUUACUUUUCAUAAUUAAUAUUGAUGAGAAGUGAUAUUGAGAGUGGAAGUGAAAAAAACGAAAGAGAAGCUUAAAAUUUACAUUUAACUCUCAAUUCCAAGCUACAUUUUCAACCAUUGAGACCAAAAUUUCAAUCAACAACCAAGACUCUUCCAUAACCAUUCGACAAAAUCUGGUAAUCCUUUUUUUCUUGUCCAUCAAAGCACACCUAAUUGAUUUAAACUUUCAUUACAAUUGUAAAUCCAGGUUAAGGAAUCCAAAUUUUCAAAGUCGCAGUUAUGGUUUCACCAAUUAGCUAUUCAUUAAUGUUAAUUAAAUGUUUAUUGGCAAUUUUCACGAUACAAUCUCAUACGGCAGGAUCUUAAAGGAAAGCCAAUGAAGUUUUGCUCCUCAUUUUUGUGAUGAACAUCAGUCAAUCAAUGGAAAAAAAUGAAGUGAAGAUGAGAAAAAUUGAUAAGUUGAUCGUUAAAUCUCACCAUCAUCAUCUUUACCAGACUAACCUUUAUCUUCAUCUUGAAGUUAACAAUUUUUUUAUCACCAUAUUACUAAGGAAAGAUGAAACAACAAGUUGAAAUAAUCAUCAUGAUUACAAGAUGGAUUGUCCAAUGACCUUACCAGAUAGAUAAUCAACUUGAAUCAAUCAAUAAGUUUAGUCAUGGAAAACAGUAACAACAAUCAAUGGUUGGGCCAACAACAACAUUGUAACAGUUUAUUAUGUCGUCCACAAGAGUUGAUUUGUGAGUAAACCAAAGCUUGGGCAGGUUCAAUGGAAGUUGAUCAAUGAGCAAAACCAAAAAAAAACCUUAAACUCUCUCAUACAUUUAAGCAUCAUCACCAAUUUUUUUUCUUGGUUUUACCUUUAUCGCUUAAAGGUGUAUCUGGGUGGGCCUAGGAGGAUAAAGUCACAAGGAAAAAGAAAGAAUAAACUUCUUUUAUUAAAAUUAUUGUAAACAUCGUCUAAUCAUUUGAUGAUAAGUUGCAUGUAACAGCCAAAGAAAAGGUGAUUUUAAGAGCUUCUUCAUUUUUACACAAUUUUCAUCAUUCACUGCCUUGACAUUUCCACCAUCAUCAUCACCAUCUUCACCAUUUUCAUCGUGUUCAUCUUGCUUCUCAUUCCAUCUCUCCUCUUGCCUUUGUUGCUGAUUCUCAUCUCUUCUCCAUCUUCAUUUCUUUUUCAUCUCUUUUCAUUCCCUUUACUAUUUAUCUUCUCUUUUAUCCACUUUCACAAUCAUUAGUAACUUGUUUUCCCAUUCUCAUCCUAAUCAUCCUUGCUCCUUUUACUCCUCACCGUAAUAAGUCAUCACCAUCAUCACCCUCCUCAUCAGCAACGGCAACAUCUCUGGUAACAACUACAAAAGAGACAGCAAAAAGUCUAAACCCAAAAAGCAAACCAAAAAAGAUGCCCAAACAAAACGAUUAAACCUAAUCACUUUUAAUCAAUCUAAUCACUCAUUUUCAAAGUGUUAAUCUUAAACAUAACAUUCAUGUGCAACAUAAUCAUAUGUUUGGUUAAUCAAAUGAAAGAGAAACAAAAAAAAUGAUAUUUGUUUGUCUAAUGAACAAAACACAAAAAUGUUAUCACUAUCAACAUUUUAUAUAACAUUCAACCUUUGUUACUGAGAAAAGAGGCAAAGAAGAAAAAAAAACUAUCGAUAAAGUGUUUACCUUUCAAUCAACCUCAAUAACCAUUUAGUUGAUUCAUCAUCACCAUCAUCACCAUCAUCAAAAUCAUCAACAUUAUUCUCUUUAUCUUCUUUCCAGUUUCAUCUUGUCUGAUCUUUUCACUUGAACCAGCUACUUUUACUCAUCUUUUUCUCAUUUCUUAUUCUGAUGUUCAACCAAAAUCGAUCUUCUCUUCCUUUUCUCCCUCCCAUCAUCAUCAUCUUCACGGCUACGUGCUCAAGGGUAAAGCUAAGGUUUUUUUCAGUCAAAUUCACUCUCACUUCAUCUUGUCUUUCUCCUCUUUAUCAUCUUCCUCUUCCAGUUUCACAAACAUCUCAAGAUAAUCGAUUGGACUCUCUUCUCUGUCUUUCUCUUCUCUUCCCUUCUUUCUCUUGAAUCAUGUGAUCUUUGUCAAUGUCUUCUUCAUCAUCAUUCAAAUGGUUCCAAUGAAAAACAAAAUACAAAGAAAAAACUAAAGACAAAAAUCUUGAUUCUUAAACCUAAAGUACUGAGGCGAGCUCAAUUUAUUGACAAUAAAAAAGUGACAUCUUAA